GCGCGCCGAUGCAGACAUGGCCGCUGGUGUUCGACCAGUUCAUCGAGGAGAGGCUGGUCACAGACGUCCCCAAGAUCGGCGAGAAGGUGUGGGGCAGAGCACGGAGCACGAAGGAGGAGAAGGAGAUGGUGCCGGCCGAGGCGGUGACGUUGGGCGGUGGCGAGGUUCUUGGAACCAGGCGGAACGGGGGAGACGGCGAGGGGCCGAGUGCAGGAGCUCGCAGUGAAGGCUCGCGCGGCCGUGUCGGAAGGCGGGUCGUCCUGUGAUCUGCGCAGGCUUAUCGACGACCUGAUGGAAACAAGGGAGGCCGUCGCCGGCGGCGACACUACUACGUCACGCGCUGCUGAGAUAAAGCGCCAUCGUUGUAUUUCCCUGUUCUUCAAUCCGUUUGUAAACAUGUAACACCGGCCGCUUAAUAUGUUAUGCAUUUCCCUUUGCCUACUAUCCCUAUGGUGUUCAUCAUCUCAGGGAUUUGCUGGUACUGGAUCCAGCGGGAGGAGAUCCCUGAGGCAUUUGAUUCUUGUGGGAUUCCCACACAUCUUGCAGGAUCAACAGGUUAUCGGCACCUUCUCAGUCCCUCUGCACCCAUGACCCAGGUCAGCUCAAUCCCCUUUCCUCAUAGCAAAUUACUCUGUUGGAUGUGGAGGUCUUCCCAUGUUCCAUCAGAUGGCUUGCCUGGAUGAUGCAUCCAUGUUUUAAUGUGCUUUAGGCUGUGAGACAAAGUUUGAGGUUGAUCUGAUCUAUAAUUCAGUGUGACUUCAUUCAUAGAUUUGGGCUUUCUGGAUGUGGAUGUUUUUUUCUGCUGUUCAGAUGUGGAAUUCUGUAGACGUGAUCAUGCCAUGAGUGACCAUUGGACGAUGCCUCCAUGUUGUAUUGCGUUUUAUGUGGUGUUUGCUUUGAGAUAAAGUUUGAGGUCAAUCUGAUGUGUACCUAUUCUUUUUUAAUACAUUCAUAGGUUCGGUUCCUCUGGUGGUGGAGGAUUUUUUUUUUUGUUCUAUUCGGAUGUGCAAGAACUGGGCAGUUACUUGGUGUACCAUGUCCCAAUUUGCCUAAUUUAUAUGGGCCUUUUUAACAUAUUUUCUGAGUGGUGAUUAGUGUGCACAAAAAAUAUACAUUCGGAUACUUUUUUUUUCAGCAUACGCCUGCCAAAAGGAAAUGGUUCAACAACAUUUUAAAUGUACUAUUUGAAUUUGUAGUCAAUUAAGGAAGUAAAAAAGAGGAUUUGGUUAGUUUUGCUUUACACAAGCAAAUGUCGAGAAGCAUACUGUCCUAUUUUUCGAGUCAGUGAAUAAAUAGAGUACUUGUCCACACAAAAAUGAAUACAAAUGACUUUGUUAUAUGCUUAAUCAUAUUCUGUCUUUUCUCAAGAGCACGACACAAAUCGAAAGACUUUUCUGUACCAGGCCAAACCAAGUACUUGCAUAUUGAAGAAACUUCCAUGCUGUUUUACGUGUGGAUUCUAACAACUGAUCUAGCAUAUAUGUUAUCAUAGCAGAAUAAGAGAUGCGCUCCAACCAGUGGAUUUUUCAUCCAAGAUGCUUCUAUAAGAAAUGCGGCAAACAUCAGUAAUGGACUGCACCAGGUGGUGAAGCUGCACAUCAGGGGAGCCCAAUGUAUCAUCUCUGUGCCAUGGGGUGUGUCGUGGGGACUGAUCCGUGGCUGACGUCGACAAAAAAAAAACAGGGGAGCCCACUAACAACCAAAUUCCAGACUGGUUUUUGUCAUAUCAGACAUUAGUCAUGAAAGUUGCAGUCUUUCAUUUUUAUCAUACAAAGCACACUGAUUGGUUCUCACGGGAUAGCGAUGCCUUUCAGUUGUUCUUGUCAGUACAUCCGAGUAAGGAUAAGUGGAUAACUACACACUUCUAAAUUUGUCAAUACAUACAAAUUGAUCUUUCUGGUGAUUGCUUUGGUAAUAACUACAAACUUCUAAAUUUGUCAUCUUUUUGGUCUGCAUAGCUGAUUUCCCCUGAGGAUUGUAGUAACGUUUAAACAAGUAUUUACACUUCUAAACAAGUAUGGAAAAAGGCGACUUGCUUGGACUGAAUCAGCCAUAAACCUCCCUUAAUUAUGUGCAUGUCUAAAAAAACUUUAGGUCUGCCUCCCUGUAGAAAUACACAAGUAUAUUUGUAACACUUAGAUGCUUGCCUAUAUAAGCUUGCAUCACAGACUAGCAAGGAGGAAGACGAAGCCCGGGUUCAGCCCCGUUGGAGUUGGCAUCUGCUCACAGCAAGCUGCAGAUGAUGUUCGUAUUUUGUUUCUUUUCUCCUGUAGCAAACACAAGCAGGUGCUGAGAUAAGGCAGAAUUAUAUUCAGAUUCGUAGCUGCUAGGUAGUAUAUUUUAGCACUAAGUUUCUUUCAAAUUAUGGGCAUAAUCUGUGCGGAAUUUCAAUGUACUCCUAAAACAACAGUUGUUGCUCUUGUUUUUAUGUUUCCAAUGGUGCUGGUUUCACUGAAAUUUGAUUGGUAGUUUAGGAGUUAAGCCAGAAUAGGUGCUACUAUUUAAUAAUAGCGAGGCUGUGAGAUUUAUUUACCUAUAUUCAACCAAGUUAGAGACAGUUUUAGUCCCAAUCACCUUAAAUAAAGUUGUAGGAAAUUCUCUGUGGGUAUCUUAAAAUAGUUUAUUUGCUGAGAUCGGUUAAGCGGUUUAAAAGCUAUGAACAGAACAAUGAGUGACUCAGUAACUCAGUCGAAGUUUCAGCUAAACUUAGAACUGGUUAUUUAGGUUUUUUACUUCAGGGAAAUAUUAAUGUAUUCAUGAAAUAGAUAUUUAACCUUUUUUGUAUGUGAGUUGAUAUAACUUUUAUGUACUGCAGGCAGUUCGUUUAAAUCCACAUAACAGUGCCUUUAGUAGGCGAUAGCAAGGCAGUCAGACAAUCUUAGUUUGGGGAAAUAAGAUAGGUUACCUGACGAUACAUUGAAAGAGGAAGGAAUAUUGAUAUUUCAUCGAUGGCGUGACCUGCAAAAGGAUGCUCUUGGUGACAGCAUCCUGGGCUUCUGAAACAUGCCCAGUUCAGCUGAAAGGAUGUAUUCAAUUAUGCAGAGAGAUGGAAUUGUUCGAACUCCAGUGCCACCAAUCGACGACAUGCCAAGACAUUACCACAAGAGCAUCGGUGCUUCCAGGAUGAAGAAUGAAUGCAUGUCAUUUAGGGAUAACGGUGGGCAAUGAAAUGUUGAAGGGUCCAUCUCUCACCCCACUCCAUAUAGAUGCUUAGUUCUUCAUGGCGAUUGUCUCUAAUGUUUUUGUUUGUAAUAUAUUUUGGCUUGGAAAUAUAAAAACUCCAUGCCGCCUGUCACACAAUUUUUCGUCGUCCGGGCAAACCCCCUUUUCCAUUAAUUUCUUGAUGUAUGGUUAUGAUGCAGUCUUCUAGACGAAGAUGGAUUUAGGUUGUGUGAUUCCACAGUAUACAUUGCACUUCCUUUAAGCAUGAAUAUCUGAACGUGCACGGUGUAUAUUUCUCAGUCAUGUUGUUUUUCUGUUUAUAUUUCCAGGAUACAUAUAGUACAUGUAUUGCAUUAGAAUAUAACUUCUACUUCUGUGCUAUUAUUUUCCUUCAUGGUAUAUGUGGCAGAACACCAUGUAUAUCUAAUAUCUUCAGGUUUCAGGAUUUAAAUGCCCUUUGUUUUCUGUACGAGGUGGUUACCUGGGAUUUUAUUUGAUUACUCUAUUAGAUCAUGAGCAAAUUAAGACAUAUAUUGAUCUUGCAAUUGAUAGCAUUUCCUGUCAUAUUGUUGAUUCUCUUACAGAUCCACCACCUCAGAUGGUGCUGACAGGGGUGCAAAGCAGUCUUCCUUGAGCUUUGGUACUGAGUUUUAAGGAGAACAUUUGCCCUCAUGAAGCCCCACUUUGUGGUCAUUGCAGCUGUAGCUAAGGAGGGUACCCGUCAGCGCCAGCUCACUGCUUGCCUAUGUAAUCAAUCUAUAUUUGCAACCUUUUUGUUUAUGGUAAGUAGAACAACGCCUAGAAAGAAUGAAAGACCGUUUCUAAUUACCUUUGCUGCAUCUAACCUAACUGCCAUGCCUACGUGACCACUAAAGUACCAUUGUUUCAUCUGCAGCGUAGUCCAGAUUUAGUUUCAGUGAUUUCUUAACCCUUUUGUUCUUGCUCUGAAGAUUAAGACAUGCAUAGGCCUUAGACUAUAGUAAGCAUCUAUUUAUACGCAUCCUUCCGUUGCCAUGUAUACUAAAUGUAAUCAAGGACUUAUUAAUAUUGAUGUAUCCCCUCAGUUGUAUUGGUACUACUACAUAUUCGUCAUGACACUACCAAUUAUAUAUAGCAAAUUCAAAGGUGUCUAUAUGAUGCAUCUCUACCUAUGUGUCUUGCUUGUUAAAAACAAUGUAAAUAAGCUACAAGAUAACUAAAGAAGCAUGCAACUAUGUGGAAGAAGUGUGUGCUACAUCAAACAAAAUUCAUGGCCUUGCUGGCAUUAGCCUCGGACCCUGCUGCCUCAAUGUCUGUUUCUAAUCUGAAGCAGGCUCUCAUGGAGAUUCACGAUGUAGUGGUCGCACUUCAAAACACUUCAGCCACAACAUCUCAGUUCCUAGAGGAAAAAGGCAUGUACUCAGAUGAUGAAGUGCCUGAUCCAUUCUAUAGUGGGCAUUCUGAUGAAGAUUCAGCUGAUGAUUGUCAUCAAGACGUGGAUGACGACUAUGAUCACUAUGUCCGAUCCCCAUGAGCAUCGUAUUCAGCCUGCUAAGAUGUCUGAUGCCAUGUGAAGCUGUAUAUGUAUAGCUUCACCAUUACGACUUGGCCUUGUGGCUGUUGUGUUUAUUCUCCUAUGUUGGCUGAAUAAGAUGCGAAGCUCUUUGUUUAUAGCUCCGCCUUAGAUUUUUUUCCCCCUUUUUGAACUGUGCUAUGGUCAUGUAUAAUUAUGAAAUCCAUGUUGAUGCGUUGAGACAAUGUUAUUUAUCUAUGUUGCAUCUUUGCUUUUGCCCA